GCCUACGGCCAUACCACCCUGAAUGCGCCCGAUCUGGUCUGAUCUCUGAAGCUAAGCAGGGUCAGGCCUGGUUAGUACUUGGAUGGGAGACUGCCUAGCAAUACCAGGUGCUGUAAGCU
rnacentral:rRNA from 1 species